AUGGAGCCCGACGCGCCGCUCGACUACGCGCUCUUCCAGCUCUCCCCCCGCCGCUCCAGGUGCGAGCUCGUGGUGUCCUGCAGUGGGCGGACGGAGAAGAUCGCGUCGGGGUCGGUGAAGCCGUUCGUGACGCACCUGCGCGCCGCGGAGGAGCAGGCGGCGGCCCAGCCGCCGCAGCCGGCCAUCCGGCUGCAGCUGGACCGGCGCGCCGCGUGGUUCAGCAAGGGCACCCUCGAGAGGUUCGUGCGCUUCGUGAGCACGCCGGAGGUGCUGGAGAUGGCGAAUACAUUCGAUGCAGAAAUGUCGCAGCUAGAAGGGGCUAGGAAGAUUUACGCGGCACAGGGAACUGCUGUAGGUGCUACCUCGGGUGCAGCUGCUGAAGCCUCAGCAGCAGCUGCAGACAUUACAAAGAAGGAGCUUCUUAGAGCAAUUGAUGUCCGUUUAAGUGCACUUAAACAAGACCUUGUCACGUCUUGUGCCCGGGCAUCAUCCGCAGGGUUCAACCAUGACAGUGUCUCUGAGCUUCUCCAUUUUGCGGACCACUUUGGUGCCAGCAGGCUGAGCGAAGCAUGCAACAAAUACAUGUCACUUUGCCAGCGUCGUCCAGACAUCAAUCCUCAGGCAUCCCCAGCACCUUCAUCACACUGGAAGAGCUUCGAAGAUGGGGAUCUUCGUGACUCCUGCAGUUCAGACAUGUCUAUAGAUGAGCCACCGGCCGAUCACGGUGGAUCCAGCAAUAGAUCUACAAGUUGGGGUAGUGUCCCGCAUACCGAUAGAUUAAGCAGCAACCAACAUUCAGUUGAUGUUCCAUCAGGAUCGAGCGCUGAACAGCAAUCUAAGCCAACCAUCCAGCAGACAGUAGAUAAACAAGAAAACGAAACUGAUGCUCCAACUGCUCCUGCUAAAGAGCUUUCGAGGCGUUUGAGUGUGCAAGAUAGAAUAAGCAUGUUUGAGAAUAAGCAAAAGGAGCAAACUUCAACUUCUGGUAACAGCAACUCUGCAGGUACUGCUAAGGUUGUUCCAGUGAAAGGUGAGCACCGCAGGGUGCCUUCUGUUGCGUCCAUGGACAAGUUGGUAAGAAGGUGGAGCAGUGUCAGUGACAUGAGCAUUGAUCUGGGUAACAAUGAUAACAGUGGCUGUAAUGACAAAAGUGAAAAUGGAACUCCAGCUGGGACACCAACAUCUGCCAAUCUGGAGGCCAGUUCAAAAGUAAGAGCUGAUAAGGAUGCUAGCGGGGUGAAGAAUCCAGACACAUCUCAAUCUUGGUCACGUCAAAAGGACGGUGACAAGCCCAAGGAUUCUACCACUACAAAUGCUUCUUCGUCCUCAACCUUUAAUGCUACAUCUCCACCCUCAUUAUCAGCCAUUGUUACCAAGGCUCCUGAAAAGCAGACUAGGUCUUGUUCGGGAGAUGACAUGGCUAUAGCCUCUAGUACUGAGAGUGAGUUAUCCUUUGACAAGGAGCAGGGAGUUAACCAAGGACAAGGCGACACACGGUUGUCAGAGCAUGUUGCUUCAAAUGUUUCCACUCAAAACCGACAAAAAACAUCUUCAAGGCCAGCUGAGGAAGCUUUCCCGAAACAUUUUGAUACUUUAACUAGUCCAUUGUCAGAGGAUCAUGUCCAGAUAGAUAAGGAAAUAACUCCUGUUGCUCAUGAAGUACCAGUUGCAAGUGAACAGAUUGGACGUAAAGAUAGUAGAGCUCGCCUUCGUUCAAAAGAGAUGCAUGCUGGAGCAGACGCAGUUGUGAAGAAGGAUCGAUCCUUUCGAACAGUUGGGAAAACGUCAAGUGGUGUUGAUCUCAAAUCGAAAGCCACAUCGCAUUCUCGCACUAAUGUUAGGGGUUCAUCUGGUAGGGACGAAGCUGGCUCUACAGAAUCUGAAGUUCAUGAUGCUAGCUCGCGGCGGAAAAGUCUACCACGGAAGGUAGAGGAUGUGCGGAGAAAGGUUGCUGUUGGGUCUGAAAUACUGCCUCAAUUGGAUUAUUCUAGUCGCCAGGGAUCAAAUUUGAGCAGACAAUCAUCUAAUGCUGAGCAGGAAUUGAGUUUGCUGGGAGGUAAAGUUAAACCAGUAAAUGAUGCAAAUGCUAUUCCCUUGGAGCAGACUAGGGCGACGAAACCGGCAAAGGGGAAUCAAGAUCGGCAUGAUGAACUGCAAAUGAAGGCCAAUGAGUUGGAGAAAUUAUUUGCUGCACACAAGCUAACCACUUCCAGGAGAGGAAAGUCUACAGAUGCACAGGUUGAUGAUACACCUAGGUUAAGUGAGGUAAAGCCUACACAGGUUCUUCCAGAGAAGAUUUGUAUGAAGCAAACUGUGAUGGAGAGUAACAACUUUGAUGCCAAUGAGCUUCUGAAGAUAGUGGACAACGAAGGGUAUAACAACAGCACACCAGAAAAACUUGGGAUGCUUAGCCUAGAAGAGUCACGGGGAAAGUUUUAUGAUCAAUAUAUGCAGAAGAGGGAUGCAAAACUAAAGGAGGAUUGGAAGCUGCAGAAAGAAGAGAAGGAAGCAAUAUUAAAGGCAAUGCAUGAAAGUCUAGAAAGGAGCAAGGCUGAGAUGCGGGCCAAAUUCUCUCGAUCUGCUUUGCAAUCAGUUUCACGAAAUAAGGAUCAGGGGGCAGAUUCUUUCCUGGUAGAAGAUGAAAUGAACAGUGACUACCUAUCUGGUGAUUGUUCUUCCAGGAGUGCUGAUUCCAGGAAGCAUUUUUCAAACAAAGUAGCUUACACACAAAAGAAAUCCAUUGCUCCUGUCCAUAGUCAUAAGCAUUCGUCAAGAGCUGUAAGACCCGGUUAUGCAAAUCGCAGGAACCCACCAGAAAAUCCUCUUGCACAGUCAGUUCCCAAUUUCUCCGACUUCAGAAAGGAAAAUACAAAGCCAUCAGCUGGUCAUAGCAGAGCUACUGCAAGGGCUCACCCAAAAGGUUUUUCCCGUAGUAAGAGCAUAAUUGAAGAGUCAAAGAGUAUUUUGUAUCAAGAUCAAUCAAGGGGGUCACAGUCUAUGAGAAAAGACUUAAAUGCUAGUGAAUUAAGGGACACUUCAUCAGUGAACAGGGAUAUUUACAACUGUGCUCCCUCAGGAAUUUCUAGUAACACCCAUAAAUCUGGCGUACCGAAGUCUUUUGUUAGGAAAGACAAUGGGACUCACCCUGUUGUCGGUAUAACCGGAUUUCGACAACCAAUGUUUGCAAGUGUCUUACAGGAUGAAGAUGAUGAUUUUCCAGAUCAGCAAGAGGAUUCCCCAGAUGAUGCCAAAGAUGAAGAAUACGAAAGCAUUGAAGAGAAUCUCAGGGAAAGUGAUUUUCCUGCUGAUUCAGACAGUGAGACUCCAAAACUGAGUCAGGAUUUUGGAAAUUCAGACGAUCCAGGAUCAGAAAAUGGCGACGUUUCUUUUCCACGGGAAGCAUCCAGUACCAAGUUCAAUGCUUUUGCAAGAAACAUGCAUGAUUUACCUGGUGAAUUACCAGCCCCCUGGAGCUCGCAUCAUCCACACCUAUUGCCUUAUGCAAAUGAUACCUCGGAUGGUGAUGCUUUUGUCGAUUCACCAACCGGCAGUCCAUCACCGUGGAACUCUCAUUCGCUGGAUCAAAUAACAGAUGCUGAUGUUUCCCGGAUGAGAAAAAAGUGGGGCAGCGCUCAGAUGCCUUUUGGUGGUGCCAAUGCAUCUCAACAGCCACGCAAAGAUGUCCCAAAAGGGUUUAAGAAGCUGCUGAAAUUUGGGAGGAAGAAUAGGGGUGAUGGUUUAGUAAAUGACUGGGUUUCUGCUUCAACUGCCUCAGAAUGUGACGAUGAUAUGGAAGAUGGCCGGGAUCUGGCAAUAGGAUCCUCUGAUGAUUUCAGAAAGUCAAGAAUGGGCUAUCUUUCUUCAUAUGAUGGUUUUGUUGAGAACGAGGUUUUGACUGAACAAGAACAAUCGCUGCGCAGCUCCAUUCCAAACCCCCCUGCAAAUUUUAGACUGAGGGAGGAUCAACUGACUGGUAGCUCAAUUAAAGCGCCACGUUCAUUCUUCUCCCUGUCGACAUUCCGGAGCAAAGGAGGCGAUGCUAGGCUAAGGUGA
rnacentral:rRNA from 1 species